rnacentral:lncRNA from 1 species
CACCACCAAGUCCUAAAACCAUUGUUACAAUGUCGCCGCCGCCACCUCCAAGCCCAUCAAAACAUGUUCCAAGCCCACCUAAAAGUGUUAUAGGCCCACCUCAAGUAUACUUGCCACCUAUUGUUUAUCCACCACCACCUUCAACUCAUAAGAAGCCACCACAAUAUGCUAUUUGGUGUGUGGCAAAGCCUACAGUUCCUGAUCCUAUAAUUCAAGUGGCUAUGGAUUAUGCCUGUGGGUCUGGGGCUGACUGUAAAUCAGUUCAGCCUAAUGGGAUAUGCUUUCAGCCCAACACAGUGUUGGCACAUGCUUCUUAUGCAUUUAAUAGCUAUUGGCAGAACACUAAGAUUGGUGGGGGGACUUGUGAUUUUGGUGGUACUGCUAUGCUUGUCACUGUUGAUCCAAGUAAGUUUGCACUACGUACCAUAUUUGAUUACCUUUGUUAAAGAGAUUAAUUUUCAUAUAUUUCAUUUUUUUUUGUAAGUAAUUUUUCCAUGUAUUUCAUGUUCUACACUGUUAGCACAUUUACAUGUUGAUCUAAUGAUAAAAAAAAAAAAAAAAUUUUGAAUCGGCAAAAUAUUAUAUGUAUGGACCGUAAAAGUUGAUUAUGAUAAAAUUUAAACAGUUGAUUAGGAUAAAUAAUUUAAUUUUUUGGUACAAAUAAUAAAAUAAAUUUUAAUGAAAUUAUAUGACAAAAUUAACACUUCACAUGUUUCAUAUAUAUCGAGAUUCUUUUUUUGUUACAAUGAGAUCCUUUUAUUUAGCUGUUAGUUAAGUCAUUUCACAUCACAUCACAUACUAUAUAUAUCCACACAACAGGCAUAUGCCACUUGAUUUCUUUUAAAUUGGAAUCUAUCCGGGUAGAGAAAACAUGAAUUCAUGACAUCGGUAGCCGGCGUCUGAUUAAAAAUAAAGGUUUUUUUUAAAUUACCUUUAAAGAAUGGUGGGUAAUUUAUCCACCAACCAAUGAAAAUGAGCAAUUUAUUUGUGGAGUCAAGAUAGUUCAUGAAUAUGUGUUUAUGUGGCUAAUGUGUAUUGGUUGGGGUAAAUUACCCAUCAUUCUUUCAUGGGUAGCCUAGUUGCCACCAAAAAUAAAUGGUUCAAAUAAAUAUAUAUUUUAAUUUAUAAUUUAAAAAAAUAUCAAAUUUAAAUAUGAAUGGUUUAAUCUUGAUCAAACAACUAUUGAUGUGCUAUUGUGUGAUGUGUGCUUGAUCCCCUUUCUUCUUUUGAGGUGCAUUCUUCAUUGUCACACUCGGUGGUAUUAGAUUCGCGCACAGUCACUUAAAGCCCACAUUCACCUAUUCAAAACGUUGUUGACUUAUAUGGAUCAAGAUCUAAAGGAAUUUUAAGCUGGUUUUUAAGAUAAAAAACAAAAAUCAAACCUUAAAACCUGCAUUGUUCGAUCUAGAGUCAACGAUCACCGACAUGGUGAAAGUGAAUUUUUGUAACUACAUGGAAUGCAUAUUUCGUAGUCUUUUCAAUUUAGAACUAUGGAUUAUUGCUUCAGACUAACAUUUCCCUCAAAUCCUCGAUUUAUUUGGCAGGUUAUGACAAGUGCAGCUUCAAGUCGACUUAGCUCAUUGCUUGCUAUAAUACAUAGCAUUUGGAGACUUACCAAAUAUUGAAAACUUCUUGUUCCAAUGUAAUUUUUUAUGCAACGAUAAAUUCCCUUACUUAAUUAGAUACAUUAUUUGGAGUUACCUUGAUCAUAGUAUAUUCCGCCCUUGCUUAAUUUUGUGUAGUUCUAUAUAUUUCUAAAAUGGUAGGUUUAAUAUAUAUAUUCAUGACCAUAAUUUGAUAUUUAGAGAUGUAUGUAGCUCUAUUACGUUUCUGGUUCUUUAGUUUAAAACUUAGAUAAGCACCCAUCUUUUGUGUAUUACUAUCAGCGUUAUAAUCCUUGAAAACUUAGAUAAGCACCCAUCUAAAUGCAUAUAAGGUUAAGACAAUACCGACAUCAAAAUGCAGGUUGAAUACAUUAUCCGACUAAAAUCCAUUUCGCUUUCUUCAUGCAUGUGCUCUACAGUUAUCUUCAAUGAAUAAAACAGUAGUUACCUUCAGCCAGCUUGUAAUAUGUUGUCGCACCUGCGAAGCUAAUUUGCAUUCAAAAAAUAAGUGAGAAACAUUUUCCUGCGAAGCUAAUGAAGUGUACGGAAAAAUAAAUAAAAAAUUUACAUUUUAUUAUAACAAAGCAAACAAUUUACUCUAUUGCUUUUUUCUUUAAAAAAAAAUAAAAAAUUUACUUUAUUGUUUCGUGGUGUUUUUUUUAUUCAUUUACUUACUGAUAAAAAACUCAUAUAGACAAAAGAACUGAGUUAAGUGAGAAAAAAAAUGAGAUUAUAGCUAGUAUUGAUAUUUUUACUAAUGUAUUUCGAAAAAUAUUUCAUUCUGUUGGUGUAUAAAAAUUUACAUUAGAAGCAGGGAGGGAACCAUAUUUAACGGUAUAAGAUAGGAAAGAAAAAACAAAUUACUUUACCCAAAAAAAAAAAAAAACAAAUUUUUAUUUGCAAAUAUAAUGCACACAUGAAAUUUAAGAAAUUAUAUGUUACUUCCCUCAUUUCCUUUUUUUAAGUGUUUUUUUAGAAAAUUAACACAAAAAUCACGAAGUGUAUUUUUUGCACAUUUUCUUCCUAGUAUACCCUCAUUUUAAUCCACUAAUAAAUUUCAAUUGUUUUGCAAACACUUUAUCUUUCCAAUAAAUUUAAUAUGUUAUAUUUCUCUCAUUGUGAGUUACUAUUAUCUUUUUCUCCAACAAAUUCCUAUUUUUUUACAUGCACUCUCUCAUAACAAACAAUUGUCAAUUUUCUAAAUAUUGUGUACAUCUUUUCAAUUAUUUUAAGUCAAUAUAAAAAUUAAAUUGAUGAAACUUCUUCUUCUUCAUUGUCAUCUUGUUCUUGUUCUUGUAUCUUGUCGAAUGAGUUUUCAACUAUUGCUCCCUCUUCACAUCUCAUCAUCAAUUUCAACGAGUCUUCCACUUUUUCAUCCUUUUGAGCAUACUACAUGGAGUCUUUUAUUUUUCUUCUCUCAAAUCUUUUAUUUUACUUUGCCCUUGAAAUUUUUAACAAUUGAUACUCAUCUUAGUUAUCGAAUUUUAACUCUUCUUGGAACCAUUGUUUGUAACAAAAUUUUGUUUAAAUUUGAAGAUAACAAGAAACAAACUUUGUUUAAAAAAAAACUGUGUUCCAAAUAGAUAGCAUUAAUUAGUUUUAUUGAAAAAGCUAAAAGUAAUUGGCAAAGGGUAUAAUUGACAAAUCGUAAUUUAAAAUACCAAAAAGACAGUAAAAUAGGAACGGAAAAUUCACCAUAAAAAGACACUUAAAAAUGAACGGAGGAAGUAUAUCCAAAGUUAAUAUGUAUCGAAAAUUGUGUUCAUGUGUAAUUUAUUUGUUGUUUUUUGUUGCCGUUGUUUCUUUAGUGGCACUUUGACUCUGUAAAUACUUGUCGGUGGUUCUCCUUUUGCAUACCUUAUACAGGUUGAACCACUCUGAUUUUAUUAAUAUCUCAUUUUGAUUUGUUAAAAAAAAAUGUAUCUAAAAUUAUAAGAAAUUUCAAAGAUGUUAGAAAAAUGAGUUCCUUGAGGCUUCUUUGAGUGUGACCAAAGAAGAUUUUUUUAAUAGUAGAGAUAGGAAAUAAGAAACAACAAGAAUGUAAAUGUAGGAGAAGAAAUUCAAGAUAAUAUCACAAACAUUAGUAGUGACUGAAAGGGCGCAAACAACACCGCGUGCAAUAUUUCUUACAGUUUGAGUGAAAUUGCAACAAAUAAUCACAAAUUAAUAUUCUAGUUAAGGUUCUUCUAAUUGCAUAAAAAAAAACUCACUUUAUUUCUCAAUUUCUCAAUGUUAUGCAUUCUAGUUAAGGAUUUGUGUUAUUAAAAUUUGAAAGUUAUACAAUGCUAAAUAUACUGAGUAAAAAAAAGUUCAUUAUACAAAAUCAUAUUAAGUUCACAGAAAAUAGUAUAGUGACAAAAAAAUAAAAAUAAUAAUAACAUACUAAUAUGAAGGGAACCAUGGCCUAUGUUAGUCUCCGUUCUAGUUUCAUCCCUGAUUGCAAAGUAUAUCAUAAUGCAAUCUUGUGUAGCUACGAUAAGAAUUAAAUAUUUUCAAUUAUCUACUAAUAGUAAUGAUUAAUUGACAAUGCAAGUACUCUUUACACCUGCAUUGCAUAUGAAUUAGAAGUCACUUUGUUGGCAUAUCACUCCUCAAUCUUGUGAUCCUCCGUUCAAAACUAGCGGUAUGGUAACAAAACCCAUAUAUGUGGGUAUCCGUUUGAACCAAACUUAAAUUGACGGGUUUUUUUUAUUUUAAUUGGGUUUGGGUUUGUCUCGAUUUCAAAAGAUAGAUACGGGACGGGUAACAGGAAUAUAGGUACUCAUCUCAAACCCAUCCUGAAUGUAGAAAAUUAAUUUAUUACCCAUUUUAUAUAAAUAAAAACUCAAACCCUAAAUCAUUUCACUCAUACAAUCAGAGUCUCGGUCUUUCAGAUGACACAAUUAUCAUAGUUCUUUCUUUUCUCCUUCAAUAUUCCACACUCUCAGCCUCUCUCUUCUUCAUCACCAUAGUCAUCGAUCGUCGUCAUCUUUUUACUGAAUAAUGCAUUAGUCAUUACAACUUUGCGCUCGGGGAUAAAAAAUACUUUUAUUUUUAAUAAAAAAAAAUUAUCCACUUCGGGGAUGGGAAUGAGGCGGGGAUGCCCAAACCCGUCGGGGACAUGGAUGAGAUUCGAUUUCUCAUCUCCGCUGAAUAUGGGUAUGGUAACGGGUAAGUAUUUGAAAAUAUGGUAUGAGGACGGGGAAGGUAAAACUCAUCCUCACCCUACCCCAUUGUGAUGCCUAUUCAUGAAGCACAUAUAUUUAGGUAAAUAUUAGAAUAGAAUAACAUUGGAAUGAAAUAAUGACAAAAUUAUCUCUUCACAUGUUUCAUAUUGAGACUCUUUUAUUUACAAUGAGUUCCUUAUUUCGUCGUUAUAGUUUAAGUGAUUUCACAUCACAUACUAUACCCUAACAACAAAGACAUAUUAUGCCACUUGGUUUCGGUACACAUUUCAUUGUCACGCAUCGUCGUCUUAUGGUUGUUGUGCCUUCAAUUUAGUUAAAACUAUGGGCUAUUGCUACAGACUGACAUUUUCCUCAAAAUCAAAACCACCGUUUAUUUGGCAGGUUAUGCAACUUCAUGUUGACUUCCUUCUAUUGAAAACCUCUCUUUCCAACGUAAUUUUUACGUAGCAAUACAUCCCCUUUGCUUAAUUAGUGACAAUAUUUGAAGUUACCCUACCUUGAUCAUCAUCAUCCCUUGCUUAAUUGGUGACGAUAUUGGAAGUAACCUUCAUCAUCUUCUUUGUGGUUUUUCUAGGAAUUCUUUAGGUGUCUUCGAGUUUGGAAGCAUACAAUCAUUUUUGUAAUAAUUAAAAAUUAAAAUUGUUACAAACUUCUAAAACACGGAAGGGUGAUUGAGUUGUCCUCGUGGAGUCAUGUGUCCAAUUGGUUAUAUAUACAAUCAUAUUAUAAUAGUCGUAUAUACGUAAACAUUUUUUAAAAAAAUAUGUACCACACUUUAAAAAUUCACAUAUGCAUUAAUUAAUUUACUUUUAACCUUAUCUUCUAAUAUAUUAUUAUAAAUUAAUUAAUAGUUAUUUUAAGAAAAACCAAUAAACAAUAUAACGCAAACUUGAAACAAAGAGUGAAUCAAGGAGAAUCUACAAAAUAAGUAGAGUAAUGUAUAAUUAAUACAGAAAAAAAAUUAACAAAUAAAAUUUAUCUCACCUUACCAAUGGAGAUUUUAUCUAUUGGAAAUGGUUGAUAUACUUACAAUUAGUUUUCGACACACAUCGAAUAUGAUUAUCUCCAAUUUAUGUGGCGGAAAAACUUAUCACACACGUUAGAAAAAGAAAAAAGUGUUUAUUUUUCUAGUUCCAUGAGUUUCUACAAGGUUUUUUUUACUUCACUAGCUAGUGAUGACUCGCAUGUGAGAUUUGCGAGUGCAACUUAACAUAUGUGAUUUUGAGACCACGAGAGAAGCAUAUAAUUUUUUUUUUUAAAGUACUAUAAAAUAAUAAUAAAAUUUGAACAUAUAUAUGAAAUGUGGUUGUAUCUUUCAGCAUGGAUUAGAACUUUGUUUGUCAUGUUUAUGAGAGUUUAAUCUCUUGCGCUAAAUUCAACCUUAUUGGUGAAUCUAGAUUUUUUUUUUUAUGUAUAUAUGUAUAUAUAUAUAUAUAUGAUGUUUCUAACCUAAUUAAGAGUUAUAUGUUGUAAUAAUAUUAUAUAAUUGUCUUUUUACUCCUUUUCGAUCUUGAGUUAUUUUGGGACGGGAAAAUAUCUUUAUUUUGGUUUUCAUAUAACUAUUCCCCCUUUUUUGUGAAUCCAAAGCAUUGCUUGAAAACUUUUAUUAUCAGCAUUGCUCGAAAGUUGAAACUAUUCCCGCUGGAUUCAAAGUUUUCAACUUCACUAAUUUCUUUGAAAAGAAAAUACUAUAAAACUUCACUGACAUGUUACGUUACAUUUGGAAGCCAGUCAUGUACCGUAAUAAUUGAAGAAAAAAUAUUAUCAGCCGACACUAAAUGCAUAAAAGGUUAAGACAUUACCGAUCCAUGUUUUGUCGUUGAACAAUUAGUCAAAUGUUAAUUGGUUUCAUUCAGAAUUAAGUGUAAAAAAUUUGAUGAUGAUAAUGAAAGAGACUUGAGUGUAUUACCCGACUAAAAUCCAUUUCGCUUUCUUCAUGUGCUCUAGAUCUACAAUUACCUGCUACACAUUCCAAUGGAUAAAUUCUGGUAAUUAUAAAUGUGAUUACUUAAAAUAUAUAUGGUGGCUUCUUAAACUAAAUUAUAUAAAUUGUUAUCGUUAAAAAGCGACUUUUAGAGUUUAUAGCAACAAUCGUAUCUAUUUGUUCACGGGUUUUUGGAUUAAGUUAGAUUUAGGCUAUUGGUCAUUUCAGUCCACUUAUAAAAAUGGAAGGAUGGAUAUUAUUUUAUUAAUUUACACCAUUCGGAGAAUUUCCUUAUUUUGUAUCAAGUCAAAUAAAAAUUAUAGCCUCAACUCUGGCAAAUUAUUUGCAACAUGUUACCCAAUAGUCUACAUUAUAUAUCUAUUAAAAAUCUUAAUAUCUUGUACAAACAUUGUGUAUAAAUCUUUAUUCGAUCAGUUAUAACAAAUUACAUAGACAUAUAGUGUGUUCGAUCGAGAAAAAUAAAUAAAAGAUUGGACAUGAUAACUACAUUUAUACUAUGUGAUUGUAAAACUACAUCAGGAACUAGAUAAACUUAGAGGGUAAAGGACACGAUAAAAAUUGAAAUUAUUAUCAUUUACUAAAUCAGAAUACAACUUUUUGCCUCAAAUACAAGUGAAUAAAAUACCCAAAUAGACUUUUAUCCACCAAGGAUCGUCGUCUAAGAUAAAAAAAAUUGUUCAAUAUAAUUAAAGUUAGUAAUGUGUCUUAUGUCUUAUUCCGUGUUCUUAUGUCCAAUACUUACAUUUUUAGAUAAUCAAACGUAUUCAUCCUGUUGAAGUACAUGGAGUCGAUACAAGUUAAGAACACAGUGGCUUGGGUUAGGUGAUAGAUGUACAAUCGUAUAGCUUAUAGGUCAAUUCUAACAUGUUUCUGAAAGUCAUUUUGUAUGGAGGUGUGUUAUUUGAACAAUCAUUUGAAUGAUAACUUUUGUGACAACCACUAAUUUACAAAGGAAAGUAGAUAGUGACACGGAAACCAAAGUAAUAGAGAGAUAAAGUAAAAAAAUAAUGUGAGUAUGAAAAAUAAAAUUGUCACAAAAUGGUUGUCAAAAUAUCAUUUCUCUUUUGUAUAACAUGCACAAAUAUUUAAAAGAUAAAUGAUAUUUGUAUAACCAUUUUUUUGACAACUUUUAGACAAUUUUCUCUCUCAUAUUCACGUUAUAUUCUUAACCUUUCUUUUCCUUUUUCUCUCUCCUUUGUUUUUAACCAAUAAAAAGAGAGGAAAAAAAAGUUGUCAAGAAAGUUGUUAGCAAAUAGUUGUUCAAAUAUCAUUGCUCGAGUUAAAAUCGUGCUCACUAAACACAAAUGAUUUUUGACGAAGUUUUGUGUAGGCACAAGCAUUUCGGCGCACAUACAUAAAUCAAAAAAAUUAAAAGAUAAAUAAAACAGUCACAUCAAUCAAUAUCAUUUUAAUCAUUUAGUUUUUAAUUUUUUUUUAACUUCAUGGAUGCGUACCUAAAUGUGAGGUGUUGGUCAUAUGACCAAAUAAGAGAUUUUCAUGAUUUUUUUACCAUAAGAUCAAAAAGUUAUAUCAUAUCUCAUUUUAUUACAUUUUUUCUUUAAUGGUGGGGUUUAUUGGUUUCUAAAAAUAUAUCAAUUACCACCCUUUGUUUUCAAAUUCUUUAACCCCGUCACUAAAAACAUAAAAGUAUUUGGAGUAGGUUUAUUUUGUGAAAACAUUUUAAGUUUUCUAGAAUUUAUAUUUUUAAGCAAAAGUGAAUUGCAAAAAUUUAAGCGAGAUUUUUUAUCACAAGUUUACAAUUAUGGUGAAAUCGAAGAACUUAACUACUUAGGUUGUAAACUAAGAACAUUUUAUUAACAAAGAACCAAAAACAGGCAUGAUGGAGUGCAUAGACCAAAAUCUAAAGAAAAAACAUCAAACAGAAAUAAAGGGAAACUAUGUCGAUUAUUAUAACAACAAUCCUCUAAAAUAAAUCUAGGUGGAAGAGUCCACCAAAUAUAACGUUUAGAUUAAAAACCAAAUCCCGCUAUAAAUAUGAGAGAUUACAAUUAAUUGCAUUUGAGAACACAAUGACAAAGCAUUGCGUUGUCUUUUUUUUUUUUUUUUUUUGUCAUUUAGCUUAAUGGCUAUAGAAAUUCACCUUAAAGAUGAAUAAUUGAAGUGUCAUGCAUCGUCUGUUUUUUAAUCUCCACGUGAUAGACCGAGAAUUCUAAAAAGACUUCACCGAUAAUGACGGUGGAGAUUAAAAAACGUUCAUAAUUGCGGCCAACAAAACAAUUUGUGACUAAUAAUUCUAACCUUUUUAAAGAAAAACACGAAGUAGACAAGAAAAAGGAUGUAUCAAUAUGACAAUCAAUGGAAGUCCAAAGUCAACUCUAAAUGUUAACAUCAAAUUGAUUAACGUUGUAACUUGUAACACCUCGUUUUUUCAACUUAAAAAUUUCACAUAUAAAUUAAAGUAUUUCAACAUAAACAGAAUGUCACACUUCUUUUCAUAAAAUCAUAAACAGAAUAAAAUAACUAUUUAUCCUUCAAAUUCAACAGCAUAUCAUUUAUUACAUCGCAACGGAAUGUAUUCAACAUUUAAACAUCUUUUGCACCAAGGCCUCAACAUAAAAUCUCUUAAAGUUAUUCCAACAACAUGUUCAUGAAAGUUCAUAAAAUAAUACGUAAGGAAUAGAAAGCAACAACAAAAUUCUCAUCCCGUUACGUAUCAGGGCACCUAAGACACACGUGAGAGAUAGUCCACUCACGACAACAACUAACAGCAACUAUUCUCGAUCACCUGCAGGUUACCCAUAUGAAGGGUAACAAUUCCAAGCAGAAGGGGUGAGAUUUCAUAUUCAAAUAAUAAUAAGCAUAUAAUUCAUUAAAUGCAUUUAACAACUUAAACUUCAUCAAUUAAUAACAUUAACUCUUCUUAUAAUACUUCGUUAAUAACUCAAUCAAUUUCUAAUCAUCAUUAACUUCAUAUUCAUCACAUUAUAUACAACAUCAUAUAGCACAUAAUAAUCAGAUCAUAAACAUCAUCAUAUAACGACAUAAUCAUCACAUCAUAAACAUCAUCUUAUAACAAGAUAAACGAUACAUCAUAAACAUCAUCUUAUAACAGCAUAAACAACACAUCAUAAACAUCAUCUCAUAACGACAUAAACAACAACGAUUAAUAAAUAUUAAUACUUCACUUAGUUCUUUAUUAACAACUCAUUGACAAAUGACAACUUAACGACAACGACAAUGCGACUUCUACAUCUUAAACUCAACAUAUGCAACUUCAACUUCUUAAUCAUGCAUGUGGUACCAACCAGAGCAUCAAGCCCUCAACAUAAAGAGCAUAAAUACACUCACAGGGCAUCAAGCCCUCAACAUAAGAGCAAAAGCUCACAGAGCAUCAAGCCCUCAACUUCAAAUGAUUAUGCAUGGACUCAAAAACGUACAACUUAGACAAAUUCACAACUUAUAUGAUCCAAUAUCUUGGAAUAACAACUUACAACUUUACAACUUAGACCAACACUUGCAACUUAAUGACAAUAAUGGUUCAACAACAACAGAAACAGCAACAUAAACAUCUUGCAACAUAGCAACAUCAAUAAUAACAAUUUGAAUGAUAUAAACAAUAAUAAUUUCUAUAUCAUACAUUUUCAACACCUUAUAUAAAUAUCUUAAAUUAACCAACAAUCAUUAAUCAUUUGAUUCAGGCUCUCUUUAACUCUAUAACUUAAUAACAACUUCCAUUCUUAUCCAAAGAUCAACUCAAAACAUAGGUUAAAUACUCUUAAACAUCUUAAUUGAACUCAUAGUACUUCUAGUUUUGAGGUUUUGAAUUAUCCCAUAAGUUUUGGAUUAACUUAGAAAUGGUUAUGCUGAAUUUUCAUAAGAUUUCACUAAGACCUCUCUGGAGUAUUUUUUAUCAUAUCUCAAAAACCAAAAAUCAUUUUCAAAUCAAACCAAAGCCAUUGAAAAGCUAAUAAAAUUAUCUAAAACUUUCAUGUUUACAACUAGACACAGUUCAAAGCGGAAAGGGGUGAAAAAUAGUAAAAUAAGAAGGAUCUGAUUCACAAAAAUCGUGCCACGUUUUUAUGCCCAGAACCAUUGAACUUUCGGCCAACAAAAUUGUGCCACGCUUGCAAAAUCGUGACACGUUUUGACAGCAUCAGGUCCAGAAAUCUGCUUUUCAAAAAGUGCAAUUUUCACCAUUUCGCGCGUAAAAUUCAAACCGUUAAUCGGAUUUUGAUGCCGUUUUCGCCUACACGCUCCUGAAACUUGGCUCUAUCAUAAUCUACAGCUAUUUCAAGUCUCAACCAUCCCAAGAAUCAUUUUCCAAAACCUCACAUAAUCCCUUAUUUGCAAAAACGUUUAGACACCGACUUUUCAAGCGAAAAUCUCAAUUUUCAUCAACUCAACCCCAAAACUGGUUCUAAUCAUUGUACUGUGAAUAAUCUAAGGUCUGAACAUCGUUUCUUCAUUAAUUCAACAGGUUUCUAUCAUCUAAUCAACCAAUUACAACUUUUAACCCUAAUUUCCCAAAUUCCCAAAACUACAACCUACAACAUGUUAAAUCCAAUUUUCAGAAUUAUACAACUUAUAAUUAAAGAAUGUUAUCAUUCUAGGUUCUUCUCUUCUAUUGUUUUCUCCCUUUUUCUCCAAAAACUUGUUUUACGCGAUCCUUAUUUUCUAAUUCUAACUCUCCCCUUUUAUAUAAAUCCUUAACCUACUUAUUUUCUCUUAUUUCCAAAUCUACCCCCAAAGUCUCAAUAUUCUAUUCUAAUAUAUAUGUAUAAUAAAAUACUUCUAUAACAAAUAACAAAUAUAUCUCUAUAACAAAUAUAUUUAUGUACCAGAUAACAUAUAUAUUUCUUCACCAAAUUAGAUAUAUAUUUCUACACCAAAUAACAUAUAUAUUAUACUAAUAAAUACCAACAUAUAACAUAACAAAAUAUCACUCAUCAAAAUAAAUCGACUAAAUUAUAAAAAGACAUCUAAAUUCAAUAAAAUAAAUAAAUAUUAAAAUAGGGCGUUACAAACGUGCUUUCUAUCAUCGAUGAACCAGAGCAAAAUUACCAUUAGAUUCAAUCAAUGGUCAUGAUUUAUACAAAAUAAAAAUAAGAACAUUUAAGAAUUGCCUCGCACAAUCUUGCCCCUAUUAAACUUUUUUAUUUUUGGUAUUCAUCAUCUUCAACCUCCAUUCCAAUUUUUUCGUAAUAAAAAAAAAAAAAAAAACUCCAUUUCAAUUUAGGAGCAAUGCUACAAAAGAGAAUUUGCACAAAAAAUUGAGUGUGUCUUCAAAAGUUUACGGGGUUUGCUAAAAAUCUAGUUUAUGGGUUCAAUUGGAGGUGGUGACUAAUGAAAUUGGAGGUUUAACUCAUCCUUAAAAACCAGUUCAUAAGGUGAGUCACGCCCAGCACUCUUUGGGCUUACGUGAAUCGGUAGGUAUUUGGGCUUACGUGAAUCGAUAGGUAACUCUUGAAUUCGACAGGUUCUGAUACCAUAAUGAAAUUGGAGGCCUAACUCAUCCUUAAAAACUAAUUCAUAAGGUGAGAAUUGUCUCCUCUAUAUUAACUCUUAUCAAGAGUCUUAUCUUUUCGAUGUGGAACAUGAGUUUUUUUCAAUAAUGACCUUUAAAGUUUAAACACGCGGCAUCUUUGAAUUCUACAUAGAAAAAAAAAAUAGAAUUAUAGCGUGUUAUGUUUGUUUCUCUAGAGCAUGAGACAUUUCAUUGUUCAGUUUAUGUUGUCAUGGAAAGGCAUAUGAGUGAUGGGUGUACAUCAUCGAUCGGUGGUUUGAUUCUCGUGAAUAGAACAAAAAAAAUCUGAGCUCAAUGGUACAAAUCCUUACGAUGAAAGGUGAGAUAUAGUAGGAUUGUGUGUGGAUAGUUGUAAAUGUUAUCUUUUUUAAUUCUAGUAGAUCAAAAUUGUUAAUCUCAUUUCAUGGUAAAAAUUAAAUAGUCCAUUUGUGAGGGACUCAAUAGCUCCUUCACCUUAGACGUCACCCUUAAUUAAUAAGAAACUAACGGCGAGGGACUCAACUCCCUCACCUUAGACGUCACCAUUGAUUAAUAAGAAACUAACGAUUGAAGUAAAUAAACGAGAAAGAAACUCAAACUUCUUUCUAAACUUUCUUUCUCUUUCGUUCAUCAAGGAGGGGUGGUUUUUGACCUAGAAUCACCCCUCUACAUCUUUUUUCCCAUUUUCUUUCAAUCUAAAUAAGUGGUUUUCACAUACAAGUGUUUCCUUUUGUGUUUUUUGUGAUUUUGUCGUCUAAGUACAACGCUGUGUUGGUCGUCGUCUUGUGCGGCGUUUGAUUUCACGUCUUGUCGCGGCGUUCGUUUAGUUUCUAUUGAAAGAUUGACAUCGGUCAAUUAUAAAUCCAAUCAAUGAUUUGGGUGUGAAUGUUGCCGAUCUAGAAACAUGAGUAUUUCGGUGACUUAGAUUUAAUCAUAUUAGUUGUAGCAUUUUGUCAUUUUAUGUUAUUAACUUGGGUGCUGUGAGUUUGUUCGCAGUUUUACCCUUUACGUUUCUAGCGAUUUUUGUAUCUGAUGUACUCUAUCAAUCUGAAUGAAUGAAUAUCGUUUUGUUUUUAUUAAAAAAAAAAAAUAAAAAAAAAACUAACGGUUAAAAGUUUGCUCUACAUGCCUACAAUGAUAAUAAAUAGAGAUAAUUUACUACAACUUUUAAAACAAUGAUGCUCAUUUAUAGGAACUUUACCAUAAAUAAGUCUCCAAAGAAAAAAUGAUUUGGAUUGAGGAAUUGAAGGUUUCCAAAUAAGCUAUGUCCAUGAUUGAUCAUAUGCAGAAACUUGACAAAAACUAUCAGCAUCCUAAACUGAAAGAGAACCUGAUGAAGAACCCUUCUAAGCAAGAUAUUCAGUGGAAAACUAUACCCCGAUAUUUAUCAAAUUUCAUAUUUCACCAAUUCAACUCUCUCUAUCAAUAGUAUAUAUAUAAAGUAAGAUUUUUUAUGACACGUGUCACUUCCACGUUUAUUCGCAAUAUUUUUAUUUUUUUUCUAAUUUUUCAAAACCAAUAUUUAAUUUGGCAUAAAUAUCUCAACAAACUUUUGAUCUUAUCUAUUAAAUAUUUUACUUAACUAUUUAUUGAAUUCCUAAUAUUUUAUGUAAUAGAAAUAUCUCAACAAAAUUACAUACGAUACCCUUCAAUUAAAAAUCAUCAAUCAAUCAAUAGUAUAUAUAGUAAGGUUUCUUAUGCCACGUGUCACUUUCAUGUUUAUUCGCAAUAUUUUUAUUAUUUUUAUAUUUUUUAAAAUCAAUAUUUAAUUUUGUAAAAAAAAAAUCAAUAUUUAAUUUGGCAUAAAUAUUUCAACAAAAUUUUAACCUUAGGGAUGGCAAUGGGUACCCUAUCCCAAUGGAUAGGGUACUAUAGUACCCUAUCCAUUGGGUACUCAUUGCCAUAAAUGUAUUGGUCUAUUCUCCACUAUCAUAAAUAUAAAGUGAAAUAUAUUGAAUUGGAAAUGAUGAAAGUAGUAUUAAUUAGAGUUAUAAUUGAAAAAAAAAGUAAUUAAUAAUUGUAUUGAAAAGUUAAAUGCAUCAAGAUUUUUGAGACAAUAUUUUUUACAAAUAACUUAGUUAUUAUGGGACGGAGGGAGUAACACUUUAACAUGACAAUGAAAAGUAAAUUUAAGAAUUAAAAUGCAAGAAAUGAAGAGAAUGUUUCUCUAACACAAAACUAUUUUUUUUUUCUCUUUCACUUAUACACUUUUUUAAUGUGUAAAAUAAAAAAUAAAAAAAACUUAUGUAUAAUGAGACGGAGGGAGUAGUUAGUAAGAACAAAGUCGUCAAGGAACCAAUUAACUCUUGAUUUCACUUCCCAAAAACGUCUUGAUAGUGCUAUACUCCCUCCGUCCCAAAUUAUAAGCAAAAAAACAAAAAUCACACUUAUUAAGAAAACUAAAACAUAAAAAUUUGGAGUAUAGUUUUUUGUGUUUUCGUUGGAAAAAGUUUUAUAGGAAGAUGUAAAAACAAUUUUCAUUGGCUAUUGAUUAUGGAAAAAAUGAAAGAAAGAGAAAAUUGAAUGUAAUUUGCAUUUAAUUUUAUGAGAAUAACAAAAAAAAAUCUUGGAAAAGAUUAAAAUUUGUCUUUUUUCCUUAUAUUUUGGGACAAAGAAAAUGAAUUUCUUUUGCUUAUAUUAUGGAACGGAGGGAGUACUUGGUUAAGCUGGAUUGAGCAUUCAAUUCUAAUUUAAGGGCCUUUAAUUUACCUUAAAGAAUAAACAUAGGACAACCAACCACAUAAUUAUUUAUACCAAACAUUUUCCACCACGUGGGUGAUAUCUGGAAGAUGAGAGUCCAUUUAAGUGAGUCAAUGUGACGAAAAAAAAGAUAAAAUGGCAAUUUUAGGAUCGUAAAUUUCUGAAAAUAAUGGAAGUAGUAAUUCUUUUAACGUUUUCAUUGUUUUAAAAAAAUUAUCCAAUCAUAUUUUAUAUGCAAUUUUUGUUUUUUAGAUUAAUUAAACAAUAAAUUUUGUUAACCAGUGUCCUAAGGGUGAUGAUUAAGGAAUUCAAAUGUAAAAGUUUUGUCUUGUAAUUGUAGGAUGUUACAUUUGAUCAAGUAAUGAUUAUACUACUUUUUAUUAAAAACUUACUUGAUUUAGUUGUUUAACCAGUGUGAACACUAGUUAACAUUCUCCUUAAAUAAUUGAUGUUUCUGAAAUAUAAUAUAUAUAUAUAUAUAUAUAUAGCUCAGAUACAUCACUUAUUUAAUGAAGAGUUUUUUUUUUUUCCUUCUCUUAAUUAACGAAUAAAACUAACACUUAUAUAUCUACCAAAAAAAAAAAAAAACUAACACUUAUAUAAUAUAGUUCGGAUACAAUAUAUUUAUAUAAUAUAAUCCGGAUACAUCACUUAUAUAAUCAACAUUGCUAUUUACCGCGACAAGUUUUGUCCCGAAUGCAUCAAGAAUGAAAAUAAGCCAAUUAAAAACAGCUGUUAGUGGAAAUCAUGGGAGGUGGGGGAGAAAAAGAUGGAAAUCAUAAACUAAUGGAUGGAUGGCAUACAUGCCACAUGUGUCUGGAAAAUCUCGGGACAGUUUUAUUUCGUGUGAAAUAGCAUUUUUCCUUAUAUAAUAUAGUCCAGGUACAAGGCAACUAUCACCGGAUGAGGUUUUAUCUUUUUAUUAAUGAAUAAAACUUUUUUUAAGAAGCUAAAUGCAAAAUAUAUUAAAAACCAAAUUAGUUAAGCACAAGAUGUGCCAAACGAAAAACUGUGUAUAACGUCAAAGUAACAAACUCGAUAAAGAAAGAAACCACAAAUAAUAAAAAUCAAAAGCGAAAUUCAGUUUAUGUGUCUUUAGCCACCACAAAAAAUGAAAUUUAAUAUUGUCGAGAAGUUGAUCCUUAGAAGACACGUUGUUAUUGAAAUUUCUCGAGUUUCUCUCCUUCCAAAUUCUCUCCUUCGAAAUAACUCAAAGACAUGUCAGCACACCACUUUAAAACAAGAGCUAAUGUCCUUCCUGAAAGCAUGCGCGCCAAAAAAUUGUUGUGCGUGACAACCAAUAUUUGAUGGAACGACGGUAGUUUUACCCUACCAGAUCAACAAACACCCUACCAGAUCAACAAACAGGGAAAAUAAAUAAAAAAUAUUUUUGCAAAGUAAUUAAACGGAUUCUAAUGUUUAAUAGGAACCGAUCGAGGACAACAUAGAAAUCAUGCUGGAAUUUGAAGAAGAAAUACAAACCUAAUUAAAGAGAGGGGCUAAGUAUUUCCAAGCUGGAACUUGAAAAAGAAAAACCAUGCUCUAAUUAAGUAACUAAGUAAGGUAGUACAUUACAACAAUUGAGAUAAGUACGACACAUUAUGAUGAUUAUGACUUAUGAGCUGUUAAAUGAUGUUGUAGGAUUACUUUUUUCUUGUCAAAAAUAAAUAAAUGAUGUUGUAGGAGAAACAUUAUUAUAAACAUUAUUAUAACUUACAAGGACUAAUGUUUAAAAAAAAAAACUUACAAGGACUAAUAAUGAGACAGAACGAAAGUGUACGUGAGUGUAGGAGACACGUUAUUAUAACAUUUUAUAAAUAUUUAAACGUUGAUAAUAAUUUUGUCGAUCUAUAAACCACUACCAAUUCCUAGUUAAAUAUAUAAUAAUUUUUAUUAUAUUUGUUAGUUGAUGGUAAAAGAUGAAUAUAAUUUGUUACUAUAUUUUUUUUUGACAAAAUAAUUUGUUGCUAUUUAAAAUUCAUAAAUAUAGUCUAUACAUAUAAUUUUAAUAAAAAUAAAAAUUCACCCAAAAAAAAAUCAAAAAUUUCAUAAAAAAAUAAAUAUUGUUUAUAAUUCACGAGCGUUGUCGCAGUACAAAAAUGGAUAGAUGGAUACCCAGUACUAGUAAUUAAUGAAGUUAAUUGGUAAAAUUUCACUCUUACUGGUGGUUGAUGGUAGGGGUGUUUACGGUGCGGUUUGGUUCGGUUUUGAGAGAAAAAGUCAUCCAAACCGCAAGAUAAAAAAACAUGCGGUUUGUGUAACACCCACAGCUGACGAGGGCAGGGGAGUGGUCACCGGUGCACAAGGCACGCCAAUGAGCGGCUCCCGACAGCUUCUAGAGGAACCGAAUCACAUCUGAAUGAGAGGGAUCCUGAGGCCGUGUAGGUGUGGGACUACAUGAAUGAAGGAAUGCUUAUAAGAAUUGUUUGGUAAUACCUAUAUCAACAAGGUGCAUCUUCUUUUUGGUACCCUAUUCCAUAAGAACUCCACAGUUAAGCGUGCUUGACUUGGAGUAGUCUUUGGAUGGGUGACCUACCGGGAUUCCCGAUAAGCAUGCGAGUGAGGACAAAACACGCUGAAAAGACUCGUGUUGGUUUGUAGGGUCAGUCGACAAUGCUUAAAGUCGUCUGGGAUGUUACAGUUUGGUUUGGUUCGGUUGGCUUUAAAAUAAAAUCCGAACCAAACCAAACCAAUAUGGUUUGGGUUGUAUCGGUUGGUGCGGUUUUUUUCGUGACGAUACGAUUUUUUGUUUCCAACAUUAAAAUCAAGAUAAAAAGCUGAAACACAAUAUAUUUUCAACAAUGUUUUAAAUUUCAUCAAACAUUACAAUUUCAUUUUCAUUACAAUGUUUCCAACAACAUAAACCAAAUUAAAAACGCGGACAAAAAGUAAUCUUAUUUUGUAAGAAAUGCAAAAGACUGAGAUGUUCUCAUUCUCUAAAAGUUAAGUAGCACAUAAAUACAUUUUUAAAUAAAAAGCAAAUAAUGAACUUAACAAGAGAAAAAAAAUAUGACAUUUUAUAAAAGUUUUCAUUGAGUUUCUAUGAGUAUUGGUCUUGAUGACAUAUGUUUAAUUAACAUUUUUCUUAUGUUAUGGUUUGGUUUGGUUUUGUAUCUAUUUGACAGUCUCUUUGUACUUUGAGCGACCUCUUUAGUACGCCUUAUGCUAAAGAGGUGUCUCUCUUAUUGUGAAUAUAUAUCAUUUUACCUUCUUAAAAAAAAGUUAAUUGGUAAAAAAAAAAAAAAUUUCUCUCUUGAUUUAUAUGAAAUGACAUUUUUUUUUGGAACAUGGAGGGUAUUGAUUUUUACACCUUUUCAAAAGCCACUCAAGGAUGAAUAUAGAUUUUUCAUGCAUCAAACACAAGAAUCAUUAGCAUAACAUGCUUUGGAAAACACACACAUAUACUUAAAUUAAUGGUUGGAGUAUCAAAUUUAAAAAUAUUGUUGUCAAUACAUACCCCGUCAAUCCUCCUUUUUUACCCAAUAAACAUUGAAAUGUUGCUUCUUUCGUUAAGCAUAAAAACAUCAAAGUCUAGCAAAAUGUUGUUUUUGCGAUGACACAUUUCAUAUAGUUUAAAGGAUGCAUGAUUCGAUUACAAAAACAAAAUACUAAUAAUUCUAGCACAAAGUUUAAAGCUAAGAUUAUAAAGCUUCAUAGCAUGUGGAUAUUCAUUUAGAAAUAUAGGAUUAGGAUUGCCCCUUUCAUCACGGGUCUAAUAGCACCACUUGUCACUACAUGUUAAAAAUGUCCUCUAGUACAACACCGCUUUUUACUUGAUUCCCCUUGUCCAUGAAAAAAUCAAACAAUAUUUGGACACAAAAAUUUGCCCCCACUUUCCUUUUUCUUCUGCCCUAGUUUGUUUGAAAACUCAUAUUGAUCAAAUUUGGCUAUGAAUUCAAACAAAAAAUUCACUCUGCCCAUUGCAUGUGUGGGACCCACAUAUAAAUCCAUGAAGGAUUUCAAUGUCCAUCCAAGUCAAUGAUUCAACAUAUAACAUUGAAUAAUUUAAUUCCAAUUUGCAGUAUUAUGAUUUAGAUUGAUUGCUGCAAUACGGUCCGUGAAUGUAACUCACGAGAAAGAGGUAUCAAGGUAUUUUAUUUUAUUUUUAACAAAUAAAAUUUCAAGGUCUUGUUCACCAUAUAAACCUCCUCACUCUCACUCAAUUCUCUUAAGUGUAUGACUUCAUAGUAAACUACACUACUUUCUUUAAAACAUGGCUAACUAUGCUAUAGCCAAUGUUUUGAUCCUUCUCUUGAACUUGAGUACCUUACUCAAUGUUCUUGCUUGCCCUUAUUGUCCUUACCCAAGCCCUAAACCACCUUCACACCACCCUCCUAUUGUUAAGCCACCAGUUCACAAACCACCAAAGCAUUCUCCUACUCCUAAACCACCAGUUCAUAAACCACCAAGAUAUCCUCCUAAACCAUCACCUUGUCCACCCCCAUCAUCAACACCAAAACCACCUCAUCAUCCCAAACCCCCAGCAGUACACCCACCACAUGUUCCAAAACCACAUCCACCUUAUGUUCCAAAACCACCAAUUGUUAAACCUCCAAUAGUACAUCCACCUUACGUACCAAAACCCCCAGUUGUGAAACCACCACCAUAUGUCCCUAAACCACCUGUUGUGAGACCACCCUAUGUUCCUAAACCACCAGUUGUACCUGUAACACCACCUUAUGUUCCUAAGCCACCAAUUGUUUUCCCACCACAUGUUCCUCUACCUCCAGUUGUACCAUCACCACCACCUUAUGUACCAACACCUCCAAUUGUGAAACCACCAAUUGUUUUUCCACCACAUGUUCCUCUACCUCCAGUUGUGCCUGUAACACCACCUUAUGUGCAACCACCACCUAUUGUAACUCCACCAACACCAACACCUCCAAUUGUGACACCACCAACACCACCUAGUGAAACACCUUGUCCUCCACCACCACUUGUACCUUAUCCACCACCACCAGCACAACAAACAUGUUCCAUUGAUGCUUUGAAGUUGGGUGCAUGUGUUGAUGUGCUUGGUGGACUCAUACAUAUUGGUAUAGGUGGAAGUGCUAAACAAACAUGUUGUCCAUUGCUUCAAGGACUUGUUGAUUUGGAUGCUGCUAUAUGUCUUUGCACCA